GGCCUCCUUGUGCUUACCACAGGCUGUGUUUUUGCACUGACUGUAUAGAAAGGGGAGGCAGAUAAAGUACCCCAUAUACACCUCAGCCCAGGCCUUGUGCCUGGUUUGUAUUGUGAAUGGGGCAACAUGG
ensembl:snoRNA SNORA51 small nucleolar RNA SNORA51